AUACUUAACUUGGUACAGGAGAUACUAUGAUUAUGAAGGUGGUUUUCUCAAGGGAGGCUUAUCCAUUGCAUUCCAGACAUGGUGACCCCUUGGAUUUGUCCAAAUGUAAGGAAUUCCCUGCAUAAUUUCUGAUGUUGGAGACUGCAUUUGUGCUUCCCCUGG
ensembl:snRNA U1 U1 spliceosomal RNA